UACAGAGGUCUCAAGCGUUGUUCGGAUUCAUUGGGCGUAAAGGGUGCGUAGGCGGCGCGGUAAGUCGGGUGUGAAAUCUCGGAGCUUAACUCCGAAACUGCAUUCGAUACUGUCGUGCUUGAGGACUGGAGAGGAGACUGGAAUUUACGGUGUAGCGGUGAAAUGCGUAGAUAUCGUAAGGAAGACCAGUGGCGAAGGCGGGUCUCUGGACAGUUCCUGACGCUGAGGCACGAAGGCCCAGGGGAGCAAA
rnacentral:rRNA from 1 species